rnacentral:rRNA from 1 species
CUCCUACGGGGCGCAGCAGUGGGGAAUAUUGCACAAUGGGGGAAACCCUGAUGCAGCGACGCCGCGUGAGUGAAGAAGUAUCUCGGUACGUAAAGCUCUAUCAGCAGGGAAGAAAAAAAGUCUUUGGCUUUGGACGGUACCUGACUAAGAAGCCCCGGCUAACUACGUGCCAGCAGCCGCGGUAAUACGUAGGGGGCAAGCGUUAUCCGGAUUUACUGGGUGUAAAGGGAGCGUAGACGGCAGGGCAAGUCUGGAGUGAAAGGCAGGGGCCCAACCCCUGGACUGCUCUGGAAACUGUCCGGCUG